GAUGAACGCUGGCGGCGUGCCUAAUACAUGCAAGUCGAGCGAACAGACGAGGAGCUUGCUCCUCUGACGUUAGCGGCGGACGGGUGAGUAACACGUGGAUAACCUACCUAUCAGACUGGGAUCACUUCGGGAAACCGGAGCUAAUACCGGAUAAUAUAUUGAACCGCAUGGUUCAAUAGUGAAAGACGGUUUUGCUGUCACUUAUAGAUGGAUCCGCGCCGCAUUAGCUAGUUGGUAAGGUAACGGCUUACCAAGGCAACGAUGCGUAGCCGACCUGAGAGGGUGAUCGGCCACACAGGAGCUGAGACACGGUCCAGACUCCUACGGGAGGCAGAAGUAGGGAAGCUUCCGCAAUGGGCGAAAGCCUGACGGAGCAACGCAGCGUGAGUGAUGAAGGUCUUCGGAUCGUAAAACGCUGUUAUUAGGGAAGAACAAAUGUGUAAGUAACUAUGCACGUCUUGACGGUACCUAAGCAGAAAGCCACGGCUAACUACGG
rnacentral:rRNA from 1 species